rnacentral:rRNA from 1 species
UACGUAGGGUGCGAGCGUUAAUCGGAAUUACUGGGCGUAAAGCGUGCGCAGGCGGUUUUGUAAGCCAGAUGUGAAAUCCCCGGGCUCAACCUGGGAACUGCAUUUGGGACUGCAAGGCUUGAGUACGGCAGAGGGGGGUAGAAUUCCUGGUGUAGCAGUGAAAUGCGUAGAUAUCAGGAGGAAUACCGAUGGCGAAGGCAGCCCCCUGGGUCAAGAUUGACGCUCAUGCACGAAAGCGUGGGGAGCAAACAGG